rnacentral:lncRNA from 1 species
AGGAUGAAGCCAAGGAAGAAGACGGAGAGAAGAGAGGAAGGACACGCCCAUUAACCAAAGGACCCAAAACAUAUCUCAAGGAGCUCAUGAAGUCAUCCUCAUGCACACAGUUUCCCAGGUGUCAGAUCUGUUUGGGCCACAAACCUAAGAAGAACAUCAUGUGAGGAUGAAGGCAGAGAGCAAGGUGAUGCAGCUGAAGCCAAGGACACGGAAGACUUUCUGCAAACCCCCAGAAGCUGGAGGAGAGGCCCUCCCAGUCUCCAGAAGGAGCCAACCACGCUGAUACCUUGACCUUGGACUCCUAGCCCCAGAACUAUGAGAAAUAAAUUUCUGUUAUUCAAGCCACUCAGUUGUCUUACUUGGUUGUGGCAGCCCUGAGAGGCUAAUUCUCAGCGCUUUCUGUGGAUGUCCUCAACACUCUCCUGGUUCUCCUCCUGCCUCAAAAGCACU